rnacentral:rRNA from 1 species
GAUGAACGCUGGCGGCGUGCCUAAUACAUGCAAGUCGAGCGAACGGACGAGAAGCUUGCUUCUCUGAUGUUAGCGGCGGACGGGUGAGUAACACGUGGAUAACCUACCUAUAAGACUGGGAUAACUUCGGGAAACCGGAGCUAAUACCGGAUAAUAUUUUGAACCGCAUGGUUCAAAAGUGAAAGACGGUCUUGCUGUCACUUAUAGAUGGAUCCGCGCUGCAUUAGCUAGUUGGUAAGGUAACGGCUUACCAAGGCAACGAUGCAUAGCCGACCUGAGAGGGUGAUUGGCCACACUGGAACUGAGACACGGUCCAGACUCCUACGGGAGGCAGCAGUAGGGAAUCUUCCGCAAUGGGCGAAAGCCUGACGGAGCAACGCCGCGUGAGUGAUGAAGGUCUUCGGAUCGUAAAACUCUGUUAUUAGGGAAGAACAUAUGUGUAAGUAACUGUGCACAUCUUGACGGUACCUAAUCAGAAAGCCACGGCUAACUACGUGCCAGCAGCCGCGGUAAUACGUAGGUGGCAAGCGUUAUCCGGAAUUAUUGGGCGUAAAGCGCGCGUAGGCGGUUUUUUAAGUCUGAUGUGAAAGCCCACGGCUCAACCGUGGAGGGUCAUUGGAAACUGGAAAACUUGAGUGCAGAAGAGGAAAGUGGAAUUCCAUGUGUAGCGGUGAAAUGCGCAGAGAUAUGGAGGAACACCAGUGGCGAAGGCGACUUUCUGGUCUGUAACUGACGCUGAUGUGCGAAAGCGUGGGGAUCAAACAGGAUUAGAUACCCUGGUAGUCCACGCCGUAAACGAUGAGUGCUAAGUGUUAGGGGGUUUCCGCCCCUUAGUGCUGCAGCUAACGCAUUAAGCACUCCGCCUGGGGAGUACGACCGCAAGGUUGAAACUCAAAGGAAUUGACGGGGACCCGCACAAGCGGUGGAGCAUGUGGUUUAAUUCGAAGCAACGCGAAGAACCUUACCAAAUCUUGACAUCCUUUGACAACUCUAGAGAUAGAGCCUUCCCCUUCGGGGGACAAAGUGACAGGUGGUGCAUGGUUGUCGUCAGCUCGUGUCGUGAGAUGUUGGGUUAAGUCCCGCAACGAGCGCAACCCUUAAGCUUAGUUGCCAUCAUUAAGUUGGGCACUCUAAGUUGACUGCCGGUGACAAACCGGAGGAAGGUGGGGAUGACGUCAAAUCAUCAUGCCCCUUAUGAUUUGGGCUACACACGUGCUACAAUGGACAAUACAAAGGGCAGCGAAACCGCGAGGUCAAGCAAAUCCCAUAAAGUUGUUCUCAGUUCGGAUUGUAGUCUGCAACUCGACUACAUGAAGCUGGAAUCGUUAGUAAUCGUAGAUCAGCAUGCUACGGUGAAUACGUUCCCGGGUCU